AUUAAACAAAGGAAGCAGAUGGAUUCAUGACAAAAUUGUGUUUUGGUGAUGGUGAUGUGUUUGUACAUCUUACUUUACUGAACAUCCUUGCUGCUUACAAUUAUCUCUAUCUUUAAUGAACUUGGCCCAGUAGUUUCAGUGGAAAAUGUUAGUAAAAUUUACAAAUUUUAUGAAAAUUGUUAAAAAUUGACUAUAAAGGACAAUAACUCCUUAGGGGGUCAAUUGACCAUUUCAGUCAUGUUGACUUAUUUGUAAAUCUUACUUUGCUGAACAUUAUUGCUGUUGACAGUUUAUCUCUAUCUAUAAUAAUAUUCAAGAUAAUAACCAAAAACAGCAAAAUUUCCUUAAAAUUACCAAUUCAAGUGCAGCAACCCAACAACGGGUUGUCUGAUUCAUCUGAAAAUUUCAGGGCAGACAGAUCUUGACCUGAUAAACAAUUUUAUCCCAUGUCAGAUUGCUCUUAAUGCUUUGGUUUUUGAGUUAUAAGCCAAAAACUGCAUUUUACCCCUAUGUUCUAUUUUUAGCCGUGGCGGCCAUCUUGGUUGGAUGGCCAGGUCACUGGACAAUUUUUUUUUAAAACAAGAUACCCCAAAGAUGAUUGUGGCCAAGUUUGGAUUAAUUUGGCCCAGUAGUUUCGGAGGAGAAGAUUUUUGUAAAAGAUUACUAAGAUUUACGAAAAAUUGUUAAAAAUUGACUAUAAAGGGCAAUAACUCCUAAAGGGGUCAACUGACUAUUUCGGUCAUGUUGACUUAUUUGUAAAUCUUACUUUGCUGAACAUUAUUGCUGUUUACAGUUUAUCUCUAUCUAUAAUAAUAUUCAAGAUAAUAACCAAAAACAGCAAAAUUUCCUUAAAAUUACCAAUUCAGGUG
rnacentral:lncRNA from 1 species